UGAAAAUUAGCAAAUAUCAAAAGCCAAAGCCCAGCCCAAAAAGCACAGGCGCUGUGCCUGUGACGAGCGUCACAAAGGCUGUGACGAGCGUCACGCUUUACACACUUGUGUGACGAGCGUCACACAUGGUGUGACGAACGUCACACCAUUCUCCUAUAUUUUUGGCUUCAGAGACGUUGAGUCCUAUUUGCACGCCUGACCAUUUGGCACGUGAAGACCCUUUGACGCGGAAUACCUUUGGAAACAGUUAC
rnacentral:lncRNA from 1 species